rnacentral:rRNA from 1 species
AGUGAACGCUGGCGGUAGGCCUAACACAUGCAAGUCGAACGGCAGCACAGUAAGAGCUUGCUCUUACGGGUGGCGAGUGGCGGACGGGUGAGGAAUACAUCUGAAUCUACUUUUUCGUGGGGGAUAACGUAGGGAAACUUACGCUAAUACCGCAUACGACCUACGGGUGAAAGCAGGGGAUCUUCGGACCUUGCGCGAUUGAAUGAGCCGAUGUCGGAUUAGCUAGUUGGCGGGGUAAAGGCCCACCAAGGCGACGAUCCGUAGCUGGUCUGAGAGGAUGAUCAGCCACACUGGAACUGAGACACGGUCCAGACUCCUACGGGAGGCAGCAGUGGGGAAUAUUGGACAAUGGGCGCAAGCCUGAUCCAGCCCUACCGCGUGGGUGAAGAAGGCCUUCGGGUUGUAAAGCCCUUUUGUUGGGAAAGAAAAGCAGCAGGUUAAUACCCCGCUGUUCUGACGGUACCCAAAGAAUAAGCACCGGCUAACUUCGUG